GAAUAAAGGAAGCGUGGUAAUUAGCAUAAAAAUUGAUUUGGAUUUCUAGACCUACUCUCUCUGAUGCCUUCUGGCUUUGAUUUAGGGGCAUGAUUCUGCAACAAAAUG